UUUAAUAAACAUUUUUUUGUUGAUGGCUACUAAUUAUAUUUACCAUCAAAAGCACAAUGGCAAGUCGUAACUAAGGAGUACGCCGCCAUCUUGACUUUCUAAAAACCAUAAAUGUCCGAUGAAUACAACGGAAUCUUAAAUGAAAUAGCACCUACCUCAAAAACUUAAUUUUAAUUAAAUUUUAUCCGAAUUUGAAGCGUACACGUAACGAAAUAAUCGUUCCCUUGAAAAUUUCCAUUCGUAUGACGUCGUGUUUU
rnacentral:lncRNA from 1 species